CGCUCACACAAAACAGACAUGAAGGGAUGAUGAGUCCAGUGCUCUCAGCUCGGCCCCUCUGCUGCCCAUUGUGGUUUUACAGGUGCCUCUGUCAUAAAGUGGCCCAGCCAGAGGAGACCAUCCCAGGAGCCCUGGGGCAGAUCAUUCAGGGGAAGCCAGUUGCCAGGUCCUGAGGAACCCUGCCUAGAAGCCUGCAUGGCGAGGAAAUGACAUCUCCUGCCAACAGCAGCCAUGUGAGUGUGCUUCAAAGCAAGUGCCCAGCCCCAGUCCAACCUUCAGUUCUGUAUAAUGCACAGAGAAGCCAGACAAAGGAACAGAAAAGCUGACGACUCCUCAGCACUUGCAGGUGCCAGUGGAACAAGUCCAGGCCAGUCUUCUGGAAGACAGGCUGUCCCAGACCAGCCAGGCCUGAGCGGAGUCAGCAACAGGAGACAAAACUGUAGUUGAACCUGGCUCAAGUUGCCAAGCUGCAGAAUUGUGGGAUGAGAAGUGCUUGUAUUCUAAGUCACUUUGGCAUAGGAUGUUUGUUAGUCGAAGCUGACAUGGGGGCCUCCACCACUUUGGGACUGCACAGACAUAGCUGCUGCUACUUGUUGAAAGAAAUCCAAUUCGUGCCCAGACUCGUGAAGAAUUCCCCUCCCCACUCUCUCCGCAAGUUCCCCAGUGUUCCCUCUCAGCUCAGCCACCUUCAGCAAACUAGAGUCUGUGAGGGUGAUGUCUUUCUUUUGAGCACUGUGCAGCUUUGGCUCUGGUUUCUGGAACGCGAACACUAGGCACAACUCACUGGGGAAGGGCUCCUAGGUUAGAAGACACAGAGUGGCCUUUAUCUCACAAUGAAGGGCAUCAUUUCAUUUCAUUCUCUGUAGCAAGGAAAACAAAGUACAACUCUAUAGAGAAAAUGGCACUGGAGCCUGCCAGGACCUAAUAAAUGAGGGUGAACUAAUGUGUGUGGGGUGCAUAGCACAGAGCUGGGUACACAGUUUCUGUGAGAUGGUGGGGAAAGGGGCUGUCAUUAGUAUCACUGUUGCUCUGUCCACACUGCACUGAGGUUGUGCUGGCCUCCUGCCUGGGGCCUGCCCGUUGUUGCAGCCAUAGAGAGAGGCAGGAUUGUCUCUCGCGGGUGCCUGGCAAUGAAUGAGCUGGGACGAGGGAUUCCUGCUCUCCCCAGCCUGAAGGGCUGUGCCCAAACUUGCUUCCUUCAGAAAAGGCCCCGAACUCUCUGGAUGUGGGGCAGCUCCCACUUGCCAGUACUCCUCUAAGCAGUUGGCUUGUGUGCUCAAAAUAGUUAUUCUCCCCAUGCAAAGCUACUCUCCCACGCGUCCUGUCAAAGGGAGAGCAACGAGGGCUGGAUGGGUCUUGGUGCCUCCCAGCCUGUUGUUCUAUAGGAUGCCCUGGGAUAAUGAGUGACUUUUGACCCUGCUGACCUUUCUGCUUAUGAGUUUCAGCCUGUACUAAGUGACAGCCCUGGUGAUACUGAGCCUGUGGGAUUCAGAAGUCCUCCUAGGGCCUCUCUUGGUCUUUGUUCCCUGGGUGUUGGGAGGGACUUGGAGGAACACAGUAGACUCAGGGAGCAGAGUGGAGCUGCCAUUCAGUAUGGCCAUGGGCCCUCCCCAUGGGGUUGUUCCAUUUUUCUUGUCCCAGGAGCUUGGGGUGUAUGUGCACUCCUGGAGAGCCGGCCUUGCCUUCUUCCAAGGAAGUUUCUCAUGCCUCAUAGGGGGAGAUUUGGUUUCUAG
rnacentral:lncRNA from 1 species